GAUGAACGCUGGCGGCGUGCCUAACACAUGCAAGUCGAGCGAACAGAUGAGGAGCUUGUUCGUUUGACGAUAGCGGAGGACGGGUGAGUAACGCGUGGAUAACCUACUUAUAUUACUGGGAUCAUCACGGGAAACCGGAGAUAAUACCGGAUGAUAUAUUGAACCGCAUGGUUCAAUGGAGAGUGUCGGUUUUGGUGUCACUACUAGAUGGUUACGCGCCGCAUUAGCUAGUUGGUAAGGUCACGGCUUACCAAGGCUACGAUGCGUAGCCGACGGGAGAGGGGGAUCGGCCACCUGGGAAGUGAGACACGGUCCAGACGCCUAAGGGAGGGAGCAGUAGUGAAUCGGCCGCAAUGGGCGAAAGCCUUACGGAGCAACGGCGCGUGAGUGAUGAAGGUGCUCGGAGCGUAAAGCUCUGCUAUUGGGGAAGAACAGAUGUGGCAGUAACUAAACACGUAGUGACGGUACCGAAUCAGGAAGCCACGGCUAACUACGUG
rnacentral:rRNA from 1 species